rnacentral:rRNA from 1 species
AUUGAACGCUGGCGGCAGGCCUAACACAUGCAAGUCGAACGAGUGGCGGACGGGUGAGUAAUGUCUGGGAAACUGCCUGAUGGAGGGGGAUAACUACUGGCAACGGUAGCUAAUACCGCAUACCAUCAGAUGUGCCCAGAUGGGAUUAGCUUGUUGGUGGGGUAACGGCUCACAAAGGCGACGCUCCCUAGCUGGUCUGAGAGGAUGACACGCCACACUGGAACUGGGACACGGGCCAGCCUCCUCCGGGAGGAAUCAGUGGGGAAUAUGGCACGAUGGGCGCAAGCCUGAUGCAGCCAUGCCGCGGGUAUGAAGAAGGCCUGCGGGUUGUAAAGUACUUUCAGCGGGGAGGCGUUACCCGCAGAAGAAGCACCGGCUAACUCCGUGCCAGCAGCCGUGGGAAUAC